rnacentral:rRNA from 1 species
AUUGAACGCUGGCGGCAGGCCUAACACAUGCAAGUCGAGCGAGCGGCGGACGGGUGAGUGAUGCCUGGGAAUUGCCCAGUCGAGGGGGAUAACAGUUGGAAACGACUGCUAAUACCGCAUACGAUUGGAUUGACCAGGUUGGAUUAGCUAGUUGGUGAGGUAAUGGCUCACCAAGGCGACGAUCCCUCGCUGGUCUGAGAGGAUGAUAAGCCACACUGGAACUGAGAUACGGUGCAGACUCCUACGGGAGGUAGCAGUGGGGAAGAUUGCACAAUGGGGGAAACCCUGAUGCAGCGAUGCCGCGUGUGUGAAGAAGGCCUUCGGGUUGUAAAGCACUUUCAGCGAGGAGGCGUUACUCGCAGAAGAAUCACCGGCUAACUCCGUGCCAGCCGCCGCGGUAAUUC